AUGGGCGCCGGUGGGCUAGACGCCUCGCCGGCAGAAGCCGACGCCCUAGCACCCGGUGAAGAGAAGGGGGCAUGCGAGCUCUUGCUGGCUGGCGCGGCACCAGGCCCGUCGGCGAUAGGAAACACCACGGCCAUGGGCGCCGGUGGGCUAGACGCCUCGCCGGCAGAAGCCGGCGCCCUAGCACCCGGUGAAGAGAAGGGGGCCUGCGAGCUCUUGCUGGCUGGCGCGGCACCAGGCCCAUCGGCGAUAGGAAACACCACGGCCAUGGGCGCCGGUGGGCUAGACGCCUCGCCGGUAGAAGCCGAUGCCCUAGCACCCGGUGAAGAGAAGGCGGCCUGCGAGCUUUUGCUGGCUGGCGCGGCAGCAGGGCCGGACUUCCUCAACACCGGGGCAGACGCGGCCUUCUUCGCGACCUCGGGCGCAUUGGCAGGAGCGGAGGCUGCGGGCGCCUUCGACGACUCCGCGGGGGCAUGCGCCGCGCUGGCGGCUGCGACGGCGAGGACGAAGAAGAAGAUUGCGACCGCGGCGUGCGCCAUUUUUGUAUGGUUUUUG
rnacentral:rRNA from 1 species